rnacentral:rRNA from 1 species
ACCUACGGGUGGCAGCAGUGGGGAAUAUUGGGCAAUGGGCGCAAGCCUGACCCAGCAACGCCGCGUGAAGGAAGAAGGCUUUCGGGUUGUAAACUUCUUUUAUCAGGGACGAAACAAAUGACGGUACCUGAUGAAUAAGCCACGGCUAACUACGUGCCAGCAGCCGCGGUAAUACGUAGGUGGCAAGCGUUAUCCGGAUUUACUGGGUGUAAAGGGCGUGUAGGCGGGACUGCAAGUCAGAUGUGAAAACUAUGGGCUCAACUCAUAGCCUGCAUUUGAAACUGUGGUUCUUGAGUGAUGGAGAGGCAGGCGGAAUUCCGUGUGUAGCGGUGAAAUGCGUAGAUAUACGGAGGAACACCAGUGGCGAAGGCGGCCUGCUGGACAUUAACUGACGCUGAGGCGCGAAAGCGUGGGGAGCAAACAGGAUUAGAUACCCCAGUAGUCCA